rnacentral:lncRNA from 1 species
AACUGAAAAGUUCUCUAUGCAACAUCUAUUGCAGGUUGGUGUUUCUUACCUAUGCCUCUAUUAUUCUAGGAUUUUGGAAGUUAAUUGCUCAUGUGUGCUGAAUUGAAAAGCUCAAUGAAAGGCACUUAUUUCUAUGCACAAAUGCUUUUGUUGCUAUAAGAAUCUGUAGAGAAGAAAGCAUUUAGCACUGCUGCCCCUGCUGUACAUAAUUAGAGGAAUAGUUUGGUUCAGUUAGAGGAAUUGGUGUUUUUGGAUAGUGAUGUUUGGGCCAAUUCUGGGCUGAUCAGUCCAUAAUUUCAAGCCUCCAAAUAUAAGUUGUAGUGUAGGUCUCAAGCUUUCCAAAGAGUAUUUGUUUGUGCUUUUUGGCCAGCCAGUUUCAGAGCAGCCAUCAAUUUAAUGUGCUGUCCAGGAAGUUAUUAUCCUGAGCGCAGUUUUUUCAUUUGCCAGUUUAGGGCCUGUUAGAGGUUGAAUUAAAAUAAACUUUCAACAUGAAAGUUGUAGAUAUGUUUCUGUAGAUGCUUAUACACAUAUAAUUUGUCCAAAUUCCUCUUCUCUAUCGAAUCCUAUAAAAAUAUUAAAGGAGGUUGUACUAUGUUGGACAGAAUUUCAUUCUCAGUUUCAUCGGCGUCAGCUUCAUCACCAAGAGGACGGACUCCGGAAGGCAGCCUCAUCCUAAGGCGCCAGGACCGGUAACUCCCGAAACGUCCAUCCUUCCGAACAUUAUUUUCUGGUGAUGGACCGUUAGGGUUUGUGUUCAUUGACAUUUUGGAUUCAUAUGUGAAGUCUAUUUUUGUUAAUUACAGUUAAUUAAUUUCUUAAUUCAUGGUUGUUUUAGUUGCUGACCAUACGAUUGGUAGCCUUGGACAGAAGAGGGCCAGCAACAAACAGAAGCAACCACUGUCCUGUCCAGAACAUGUAUAUCUUCAGUUUUGGUUGCCUUCUGUUUACUUGCCAACAAGCGACAUUGAGCUCACAUAUUUACUGUUUGAUUUGUUAUAUACUUAAUCUGCUAGACGAAGUGUAAAAGGGAAAUUCAUGCUCGACAAUUUUGUAUAUUUAUAAACCUAGAUACUACUCUAAUUGGUUUUACUUCUUCCAUAUAUUUUCUCCUCCCAGUGUGUAUAAAUAGUGCACAAAGUUAAUUUCUUUUCCGUCUCCACCGCAUCUAAUUUUAAAGAAAAUAGAGAGGAAUCUGAGAGAUACACAACCAGAAGAAUUUUGUUUUUUUGAGUUUUCGACCGUGUCUAACUUUUGGUAAAAGAGAGAGGAAUUUGAGAUAGAUAGACAACCUGAGGAGCUUUGAACAACUUUGAACGUCCGAGUAUGCCGCCGGCCUCCUCGCCGCUGUUGUCGCGUGUCUGGCACCAGUGUGUGGCAGCUGCUGAGAUGUGCGCAGUUUACUCCCGGUUCCGUGAUGGUGUUGAAAAGCACCUUAACUGAGCCAAGGAAUUUAGUAGCUUUGUGGGAUGACUAAACAAAUUUUUUUGCUCUUCCUAUGCUAUCUUCUCAUAUUAUAAUUUUGGUGUCCUGGUAUGCAGGGAUCAGCUUUGGUGGCAUCCGAUGCUGCCAGACCACGGGGUUAGAGCAGAGGAAGCUGACAUGGUGUUCGACAUUCAGAUGGUCAUUGUGAUCGACCAGAUGCGGCGCCUCAUGUCACCCCGAGCCUCCAGGGCUUGUUAGCGGUGCUCAUAAA